GGGUCAGUAGGUUGGUCGUGCCACCGGUACGUACUGGUCUCACUGAUUCCUCCUUCCUGAAGAACCGUAAUGCCAUUAAUUUGGUGUCGCGGGGAAACAGGACUGUUACUUUGAAAAAAUUAGAGUGUUUAAAGCAAGCUAACGCUUGAAUACAUUAGCAUGGGAUAAUGAAAUAGGACGAUCGAUCCUAUUUUGUUGGUUUCUAGGAUUGACGUA
rnacentral:rRNA from 1 species